UUAUUUUUUUGAGCAGUAUAUAAACCUCUUAAUUUCUUAAGACUUGCUGGCUGCAAGCUCACAGAUAAAUCCUUUGAAGUUGUGGCCUUUCCUUUCAUGUCUGGGCACUCAAACUUGAGAGAGGUGUAUCUGAGCUACAAUGAUGUGGGAGAUUUAGAAAUACAUCUGAUCUGUGAUGGACUGAUCAGCCCUCACUGCAAACUGCAAACACUAAAGCUUGCUGGCUGUAAUAUAUCCAGAGAAUCUUGUGACACUCUGGCCUCAGCUCUCCUGUUGGCAGAUCCACGCCUAAAAAAGCUGAACCUCAGCUACAAUAACUUUGGGAGCUCAGAGGUUAAGAAGUUGUGUGCUGCUGGACAGAGCUGUCCACUUUGGGAACUAGACAUACUAGACUUCAGCUUCAAUGAUUUUGAGGAAUCUGGAGUGUGGAGAAGCUGGAGAAACUAGCAUUGUCUGGCUGUAAUCUGACACAUGAAUCCAUAGAAACUCUGGCCUCAGCUUUCCAGUCACCAAACUCACAUCUGAUUGAGCUGGUCCUCAGCUACAAUAACCUGGGUGACUCUGAGAUUCAAUUGCUGGGUAAUGGCCUGAA